UGGUAAAGGAAAGAAAAAAGUAUCUGGAAAUGAAAAUGAAAAUGAGAGAAAGAUACUAAGAGGAAAGAUAAAGUGCCCAAAUUGUGGUCAACUAGGUCAUCGGAAAGCAAGCCCAAAAUGCCCCCUUAAUGGAACUAAAAAGAGAAAACGAAAACCAAGGAUGAAUACCACAAAACAGUGGUUUCCCAAAGAAAACAUGGCUGGUCCUGUUCCUAGUGUUGUUGCUGGUGCUGUUCCUAGUGCUGUUCCAGGUGUCAACACCCCAACUGUAGAAGCUGGCCUUUCAUCGCCUCCAAGAAAUAUUAGAAGAGUCGUACGCAAGAUUACACCGAAGAAGAAAGCCUCACUGCUGCUGCAGUUUGAAUCUGUCUAAUCUGUCUUGGACCUGUUUUAAGAACUUGUAUGUGUAAUCUGUGUGAACAUGUGAACCUGUUUGAUACAUGUUGGAAAGUGCAACGCCAAAAUUGAUUCUGUUGCUGCAA